rnacentral:rRNA from 1 species
CCUACGGGUGGCAGCAGUCGAGAAUCAUUCACAAUGGGGGAAACCCUGAUGGUGCGACGCCGCGUGGGGGAAUGAAGUUCUUCGGAUUGUAAACCCCUGUCAUGUGGGAGCAAAUUACAACGCUCGUACCACACCAGGAAGAGCCGGCUAACUCUGUGCCAGCAGCUGCGGUAAUACAGACGUCUCAAGCGUUGUUCGGAAUCACUGGGCGUAAAGCGUGCGUAGGCUGUUUCGUAAGUCGUGUGUGAAAGGUGCGGGCUCAACCCGCGGACGGCAGAUGAUACUGCGAGACUAGAGUAAGGGAGGGGGAACCGGAAUUCGCGGUGUAGCAGUGAAAUGCGUAGAUAUCGAGAGGAACACUCGUGGCGAAGGCGGGUUCCUGGACAUUAACUGACGCUGAGGCACGAAGGCCAGGGGAGCGAAAGGGAUUAGAUACCCUGGUAGUC